rnacentral:tRNA from 1 species
GCCCUCGUUGCUCAGUUGGCUAGAGCGCUGUCUGUGCUAAAGCCUUCCCCUAUGCGGCGUGGGUUCGAAUCCUACCGAGGCCA